AGAGUUUGAUCCUGGCUCAGGACGAACGCUGGCGGCGUGCCUAAUACAUGCAAGUCGAACGAAGCUUUCUUUCACCGAAUGCUUGCAUUCACCGAAAGAAGCUUAGUGGCGAACGGGUGAGUAACACGUAGGCAACCUGCCCGAAAGAGGGGGAUAACACUUGGAAACAGGUGCUAAUACCGCAUAACCAUGAACACCGCAUGAUGUUCAUGUAAAAGACGGCUUUUGCUGUCACUUUUGGAUGGGCCUGCGGCGUAUUAACUUGUUGGUGGGGUAACGGCCUACCAAGGUGAUGAUACGUAGCCGAACUGAGAGGUUGAUCGGCCACAUUGGGACUGAGACACGGCCCAAACUCCUACGGGAGGCAGCAGUAGGGAAUCUUCCACAAUGGACGAAAGUCUGAUGGAGCAACGCCGCGUGAAUGAAGAAGGCCUUCGGGUCGUAAAAUUCUGUUGUCAGAGAAGAACGUGCGUGAGAGUAACUGUUCACGUAUUGACGGUAUCUGACCAGAAAGCCACGGCUAACUACGUGCCAGCAGCCGCGGUAAUACGUAGGUGGCGAGCGUUGUCCGGAUUUAUUGGGCGUAAAGGGAACGCAGGCGGUCUUUUAAGUCUGAUGUGAAAGCCUUCGGCUUAACCGAAGUAGUGCAUUGGAAACUGGAAGACUUGAGUGCAGAAGAGGAGAGUGGAACUCCAUGUGUAGCGGUGAAAUGCGUAGAUAUAUGGAAGAACACCAGUGGCGAAAGCGGCUCUCUGGUCUGUAACUGACGCUGAGGUUCGAAAGCGUGGGUAGCAAACAGGAUUAGAUACCCUGGUAGUCCACGCCGUAAACGAUGAGUGCUAAGUGUUGGAGGGUUUCCGCCCUUCAGUGCUGCAGCUAACGCAUUAAGCACUCCGCCUGGGGAGUACAGUCGCAAGACUG
rnacentral:rRNA from 1 species